AAACUGCGAAUGGCUCAUUAAAUCAGUUAUCGUUUAUUUGAUAGUACCUUACUACUUGGAUAACCGUGGUAAUUCUAGAGCUAAUACAUGCUAAAAACCCCAACUUCGGGAGGGGUGUAUUUAUUAGAUAAAAAACCAAUGCCCUUCGGGGCUCCUUGGUGAUUCAUGAUAACUUAACGGAUCGCAUGGCCUUGCGCCGGCGACGGUUCAUUCAAAUUUCUGCCCUAUCAACUUUCGAUGGUAAGGUAUUGGCUUACCAUGGUUUCAACGGGUAACGGGGAAUUAGGGUUCGAUUCCGGAGAGGGAGCCUGAGAAACGGCUACCACAUCCAAGGAAGGCAGCAGGCGCGCAAAUUACCCAAUCCCGACACGGGGAGGUAGUGACAAUAAAUACUGAUACAGGGCUCUUUUGGGUCUUGUAAUUGGAAUGAGUACAAUUUAAACCCCUUAACGAGGAACAAUUGGAGGGCAAGUCUGGUGCCAGCAGCCGCGGUAAUUCCAGCUCCAAUAGCGUAUAUUAAAGUUGUUGCAGUUAAAAAGCUCGUAGUUGAACCUUGGGCCUGGCUGGCCGGUCCGCCUCACCGCGUGUACUGGUCCGGCCGGGCCUUUCCUUCUGGAGAGCCUCAUGCCCUUCACUGGGUGUGCUGGGGAACCAGGACUUUUACUUUGAAAAAAUUAGAGUGUUCAAAGCAGGCCUUUGCUCGAAUACAUUAGCAUGGAAUAAUAGAAUAGGACGUGCGAUCCUAUUUUGUUGGUUUCUAGGACCGCCGUAAUGAUUAAUAGGGAUAGUCGGGGGCAUCAGUAUUCAAUUGUCAGAGGUGAAAUUCUUGGAUUUAUUGAAGACUAACUACUGCGAAAGCAUUUGCCAAGGAUGUUUUCAUUAAUCAGUGAACGAAAGUUAGGGGAUCGAAGACGAUCAGAUACCGUCGUGUCUUAACCGUAAACUAUGCCGACUAGGGAUCGGGCGAUGUUUCUAUCUUGACUCGCCGGCACCUUACGAGAAAUCAAAGUUUUUGGGUUCUGGGGGGAGUAUGGUCGCAAGGCUGAAACUU
rnacentral:rRNA from 1 species